rnacentral:lncRNA from 1 species
UGCUAUGUUGCCCAGCAUGGUCUUGAACUCCUGUGCUCAGGCGACUCUUCCACCUUGGCCCUCCAAAGCACUGGGAUUACUGGCAUGAGUCACCAUAUCUGGUCAUAGAAACAGGAAGCUGGCGCAUGCAACAGGGUGGGCUACAGGCUUUGAUAGAAUGGUGGCUAACAACAACAACUGGUAUUUGUCAGAUGUCUACACUGUGCAUGGCAUUAUGUCAGGUGAUCUACAAGCUUUACGUCAAUGGAUUCUUACUGAAACCCUUUGAGCAGUUCCCAGAGCUUAUCGCACCAUCUGUGAAAUCUGAAGUAUUGUUGUGAGGAUUCAAUGGAGUAAUAUCUGCUGAUGUGCGAACCACAGAGCCUGCAGGAGAGUAAGUCGUUGGGAAGGGCUGGCUUCCUUCUUUUACAAUGGCAGUCAGUAUGUUCAGGCUUAUGUCAGGGCCAAGGAUGGGUUUCUCAGUCUUAGAAACCUCCCUGGUGGGGAAAGGCUGUGACACAGUAGCCUAGAUCCCAGGGAAUACAUGGAGAGGUGGAGUGUCCAGGGGUGAGGACUGAGAGUAGCUAGAGUGACUGAUGUGCUGGAGAACAGUCCAGCUGGGUGUGGAGGGAGGCCCAUGGAAGAGAGGGGCAAAGAAGCCAUUUCCAGCAAAAACCAAGAAUCCUUGGGCUGGGCCCCACCUGGAUACAAAUCCAAAUCUAUACCAGCCAAUGUGAGCCAGGCAAGGUGGCCUGAGCUGAGGCUUCAGGAACCCUGGGAUAAAGAAUGUGUGCUAGACAAACAGAAUGUGUCUUGCUUGGCCUUUUCACUAUUUUCCAUUUAGGCUGUGUUUGGUUUUCCUUUAGUUUUCUAAAGUUUCAAAAUACUAACUUCUUUAUUGAUUUAAGAGGAAAAGGGAAACUCUCUAUACCAAAGAAGGAAGGUGGGAAGGUUCAGAGUGGCCUAUGCCAAGUCCUGAGGGCACUGACCACCUUGGGGGCAAUGAGAAGAGCCAUGGAGCUGGAGAAGCCAAAGAGAGGACAAGCAGAGUGAAGAGGAGGUAUUCAGGAAAGCAGUUGUCAGUAGACUUCCAUGUCUUUUGCUACCUUUGAUUUAAGUCUCCUUCUGCCAGGUAAAGUAGAGCACUGCAUGUCCCUCUUGAGUUCCAGUGUCCUGCCAUCUCAUGUAGCCCUUCCGGGUCUUGACUUUGAGUUGAUGGAGGUGAGAGAGAUCUAGAAAGAGCUCUUAGUGGGUAAUGUGAGCAAGUCAGGAAACUCAGCUCAGAGCACCAGAUCUGGGCAAAAGGGGUGGAUCUGAGUCUUAAGGAGAAGGAAGGAAACCACUGUUCAGAACUGGGUUUCAGUUUAGGGUGGUGUUAGGCCUUUCUGAUGCAAAGGACUAGAGGCUUUCUUGAUCAUCUUCAGUAAGUGUGUAUGUGUGUGUGUGCUUGGAGUAAGGGAAGAAGUAUUGAAAGGAAGAACAUGGAAAUAAGGUAAUUAGAAACCUCAACCACAUGGCCAGAUGUCAAGAGUGCCAGGGAGAGUUUAGUAAUCAGGCCUUGCAAGAAGAAAAGAAACUAAUAUCCUGGUGGAUUUUUUGGAGACCAGAACUGGAAGACUGGGCAAAGUUCCAGUCACUCUAGGGAUUAGGAUCAAUUUUCAUCUUCACAGAAGUGUUUUCUGCUCUACAUGUCUGCUUCUUUGUGUUAUCUACUUUACAGGAUAUGGACCAAUGCCCUCACCCUACUCAUAUCUUUGGCUUAUUUAUAAUUUUGGUUUACUCAUAAACAUCACUUACUCAUGAUUGCUCAUGGUUCUUGCCUUCUUUUGACCUCUCUCUGCAUCAGUUUCUGCUCCCAAUGCCAACCGAAUAAUUCUCUUUAAAGAAUCUCAUAGUUUACAUUUCUAACAGAUAAAAUCUAAAUGGUCCAGCUAAUCAUAAUUGUCUCCAUUGAGAAAGAACUUUUCAGUCAGACCACCUCAUGGAUUGUCUGCUCUGGGCUGUCAACGAUGAGAGAAGAAGUUUCUUAUUGGAGGCAGCAGGGGACUGUGCAACUGUG